GAUGAACGCUGGCGGCGUGCCUAAUACAUGCAAGUCGAGCGAACGGACGAGAAGCUUGCUUCUCUGAUGUUAGCGGCGGACGGGUGAGUAACACGUGGAUAACCUACCUAUAAGACUGGGAUAACUUCGGGAAACCGGAGCUAAUACCGGAUAAUAUUUUGAACCGCAUGGUUCAAAAGUGAAAGACGGUCUUGCUGUCACUUAUAGAUGGAUCCGCGCUGCAUUAGCUAGUUGGUAAGGUAACGGCUUACCAAGGCAACGAUGCAUAGCCGACCUGAGAGGGUGAUCGGCCACACUGGAACUGAGACACGGUCCAGACUCCUACGGGAGGCAGCAGUAGGGAAUCUUCCGCAAUGGGCGAAAGCCUGACGGAGCAACGCCGCGUGAGUGAUGAAGGUCUUCGGAUCGUAAAACUCUGUUAUUAGGGAAGAACAUAUGUGUAAGUAACUGUGCACAUCUUGACGGUACCUAAUCAGAAAGCCACGGCUAACUACGUGCCAGCAGCCGCGGUAAUACGUAGGUGGCAAGCGUUAUCCGGAAUUAUUGGGCGUAAAGCGCGCGUAGGCGGUUUUUUAGUCUGAUGUGAAAGCCCACGGCUCAACCGUGGAGGGUCAUUGGAAACUGGAAAACUUGAGUGCAGAAGAGGAAAGUGGAAUUCCAUGUGUAGCGGUGAAAUGCGCAGAGAUAUGGAGGAACACCAGUGGCGAAGGCGACUUUCUGGUCUGUAACUGACGCUGAUGUGCGAAAGCGUGGGGAUCAAACAGGAUUAGAUACCCUGGUAGUCCACGCCGUAAACGAUGAGUGCUAAGUGUUAGGGGGUUUCCGCCCCUUAGUGCUGCAGCUAACGCACUAAGCACUCCGCCUGGGGAGUACGACCGCAAGGUUGAAACUCAAAGGAAUUGACGGGGACCCGCACAAGCGGUGGAGCAUGUGGUUUAAUUCGAAGCAACGCGAAGAACCUUACCAAAUCUUGACAUCCUUUGACAACUCUAGAGAUAGAGCUUUCCCCUUCGGGGGACAAAGUGACAGGUGGUGCAUGGUUGUCGUCAGCUCGUGUCGUGAGAUGUUGGGUUAAGUCCCGCAACGAGCGCAACCCUUAAGCUUAGUUGCCAUCAUUAAGUUGGGCACUCUAAGUUGACUGCCGGUGACAAACCGGAGGAAGGUGGGGAUGACGUCAAAUCAUCAUGCCCCUUAUGAUUUGGGCUACACACGUGCUACNAUGGACAAUACAAAGGGCAGCGAAACCGUGAGGUCAAGCAAAUCCCCAUAAGUUGUUCUCAGUUCGGAUUGUAGUCUCCAACUCGACUACAUGAAGCUGGAAUCGCUAGUAAUCGUAGAUCAGCAUGCUACGGUGAAUAGGUUCCGGGCUCU
rnacentral:rRNA from 1 species